AUGAUGGCUUUCCGUGAUAUUCUGGAAACUUGUCAACUAGUUGAUUUGGGGUUCUCGGGGAUCCCUUUUACUUAUGAUAACAAGAGAAGUGGUGCUGCAAAUGUGAAAGUUCGCCUGGACCGGGCUGUUGCAUCAAGUGCAUGGCGCAAUAUGUUCGCUUUUGCUUCUGUGACUCAUGUAGUCUCCCCGUGCUCUGACCAUGUAGCGUUGGUGCUCAAGGGCUAUCCGAAUCCAGGGCCUACGAGUGGACGUGUGUGUCAGUAUGAAAUAUUUUGGGAAUGUAGUGAUGAACUACCAGAGCUGAUUAAGGAUGCGUGGGAGUCUGUGGGUGUUGUACAGAAUUUAGAGCAAUUACAGUCGGCUCUGGAAAAAACAAUGUCCACGCUUGGGGUAUGGAGUAAGAAGAAAUUUGGCAACAUUACCCGUGAGCUAGCAAAAUCAAGAUCCCAGCUUAAGGAAUUGAUGAAUAUGAAUGCAGAUAGGCAGGACAUUCGAAGGGUGACGGAUAAAAUGAACGAAUUAUUAUACCAGGAGGAAAUGUUAUGGUUACAAAGAUCAAGAAUAAGUUGGCUCAAAGAGGGGGAUCGUAACACGAAAUAUUUCCAGAGUAAGGCGGUUUGGAGAGCACGUAAAAAUAGAAUCCGUGAACUCAGGGAUGAAAAUGGGAUAGGAUAUUCUGAUAUGGAUACAAUGAGUGCUAUGGCAAAUAGCUACUUCUAG
rnacentral:rRNA from 1 species